GGAAAUUGGGUUGGUGCGUGUGGAAAUUUGAGUUAAAUUUGAAAUGAGAAGAGUGGAGAGGCGAUACGAGAUUAUGGCUCGCAGUAUAUCGUACAUUACAGGCACACAACUUCUCUCUCUCAGACGCCAUCCAAGCAUCGCCAUCGUCGAUGUCAGGGACGAUGAGAGGGGUUACGAUGGACACAUAUCGGGGUCUCUUCAUUACGCAAGCGAUACUUUCUCCGAUAACAUUUCAAACCUCGUUCAGGCGGUUAAAGGCAAAGAUACCGUCGUCUUCCACUGCGCUCUAAGCCAGUGGGAAGUCGGAGGUGGUGGAAUACGGUUUUCAUUAUCACAUGGCAGUGUUUUACCCUGCUUCUCACUGGUUCUCUCUAGGCACAAAUCAUGACGAUAAGAAUUCCUGUUGUGAGCAUCUCCGCUUUGUGAGAGGCAUUGUUCUUCAUUUUGGGGUUUGUUUUCUCAGUCAAAUAAACGCGAACUGGCACAGAGUUAGGGACCAAGGUCCGUGCAUGUAUCAGUUAAUAGAUGAUAUGAAGCAUUAGGUCAAGAGUAGGGAAAGUGUAUUCCAAGAAAAAGAAGAAAGAUUAGAGAUUUGGUUAGUUAGUCAUUUAUGAUGAGCUGCCAGUUGUUAGUAGUUAAUGGGCUGACCAAAUAAAAAGAGAAGCUGUAAACAGAAGAGGGGGAGAAAAACUGUUGUAAGGCUGAGAGACAAUCUCCAAAGGACCUCUUGGCUCUGGUUCUUUGUAACAAUUAUUGAUAGUGAAUGAUACUCCUCUCUUCUUUAAUUCUUUUGGGUUUGGUCAAAUAUUCUGUUCUUUUCGUUUUGUUGGUUGGUUCGUUUUUCCUAACAUAGUAGUUUGAUGCAAAGUAAGUGUUUCAGAAGGGAAGGGAUUUGGCUAAAAGAAAGUCAAUAUUGAGUAAAGGCAGCAGUUUGAGACGAAAGACCUGCAGCUAUUUGAGGGGACAAAAAUCCUUUAGAAAGAAAAAUAAGGAAUCGAAUUUUGCAGUAUUGUCUUUUGACUGUUUUUACCGUCUUCCAUUGGCCAUGCCAAAGUGUGUCACUAAAUAUGCUAUAACUGGUUCCUUUUCUGAGGAUGAUCUAUUCAUAUAGAGUUGCAAUCUACAUAAUUGAUUGAUUAGCUUCUUAUAUGCAUAUGCUGAUUUACUCAGAUUAUUUUUUGCUUUCAUAUUACCCGUGCCUUUUCAGAAUUUAAUACCUGACGCAGUUGAUAUUUAACUCUUGUGUCAAAGCUUCUUCGUUUGAGUUGGUUCCAAGAUACAAUGGAUAAGGCAGACAUUACAUUUUUACAUAUAACUUCGUAGUUACAUCGUAAAACCUACAUGUCAGAAACAAGUUUCAUAGAAUUUGACAAUUUUUUUGUAAGGGGGCGUGUCUUCCUAUUCUCUUUUUGUACAAUACAAGAAUGUUUCUCUCUAGACUGAACAUGUCGUAAGCUAU